rnacentral:misc_RNA from 1 species
UCAUCAUGGAAUCAGUACGGAUACCCGCAAGAAUCACCAUAUCCAUAUCCAUCUCAACAAAACCAAUAUCACACGCCUCAGCAACAUCAGCCCUCUACUUCUUCUUAUAGUUAUGAAGCAGAAAGGCCUCAGCCACAGAGGAGGUUGGAUAGGAAAUACUCCAGGAUUGCUGAUGAUUACAAGACCUUGGAUCAGGUCACUGCUGCUCUUGCUCAAUCUGGCCUGGA